AUUCUAUCCUGUAUCUACCAUGUCUAGCUAGUUAUGAAAUAUGAUUUAAUGCAUUCUAUCUCCAUUCUAUCCUGUAUCUACCCUGUCUAGCUAGUUAUGAAAUAUGAUUUAAUACAUUCUAUCUCCAUGCUAUCCUGUAUCUACCAUGUCUAGCUAGAUUUGAAAUAUGAUUUAAUGCAUUCUCCAUUCUAUCCCGUAUCGACCCUGUCUAGCUAGUUAUGAAAUAUGAUUUAAUACAUUCUAUCUCUGUUCUAUCCUGUAUCUACCAUGUCUAGCUAGU